UGGUCAUCCCAACCUAGCCUUCUUAUUUCUUCCACUUCCUUCCCUCAUUUUCAUUCACCACCAUCUUCUUCCACCAACUUGCAUACAAGGAAAUUUGAAAACGUGGAUGUUAGUUUGAAAUG